rnacentral:sRNA from 1 species
UCGGACAGCGGCGCAGGAAGCGCCCUGAGCAGAUCAAGGAUGAUGACCACGCCAGGAUGGCACUCGGCAAGGACGUCGAGUCAGGUCAACAAGAACCCCGCUUCGGCGGGGUUCU